CGUACACUCCUGCGGGAGGCAGCAGUGGGGAAUAUUGGACAAUGGGCGCAAGCCUGAUCCAGCCAUGCCGCGUGAGUGAUGAAGGCCCUAGGGUUGUAAAGCUCUUUCACCGGUGAAGAUAAUGACGGUAACCGGAGAAGAAGCCCCGGCUAACUUCGUGCCAGCAGCCGCGGUAAUACGAAGGGGGCUAGCGUUGUUCGGAUUUACUGGGCGUAAAGCGCACGUAGGCGGACUAUUAAGUCAGGGGUGAAAUCCCGGGGCUCAACCCCGGAACUGCCUUUGAUACUGGUAGUCUUGAGUUCGAGAGAGGUGAGUGGAAUUCCGAGUGUAGAGGUGAAAUUCGUAGAUAUUCGGAGGAACACCAGUGGCGAAGGCGGCUCACUGGCUCGAUACUGACGCUGAGGUGCAAAAGCGUGGGGAGCAAACAGGAUUAGAUACCCGAGUAGUCCCAUG
rnacentral:rRNA from 1 species